GGAUAACUGUGGUAAUUCUAGAGCUAAUACAUGCAAACAGAGUCCCGACCAUUAAUUUGGAAGGGAUGCUUUUAUUAGAUCAAAACCAAUCGGGCCUCACGGUCUGUUGCUCUUGGUGACUCUGAAUAACUUUGGGCUGAUCGCAUGGUCUCGUACCGGCGACGCAUCUUUCAAAUGUCUGACUUAUCAACUUUCGAUGGUAGGCUCUGCGCCUAUUACGGUUGUAACGGGUAACGGGGAAUCAGGGUUCGAUUCCGGAGAGGGAGC
rnacentral:rRNA from 14 species